UGGGAUAAAAGACUGUUCAGCUUGCUACUGGAAAGCAGCACACUGACACGUGGGGGUUUGCUUCUUGCUGGCAUGCGUGAUGACUGAACUUUUUUCCCCGACAGAUCGACCAUGUUGAUCUAACUUCUCAAGCCAGUUUUUGUCUGAUAUGCCAGGCUGGAAAAUGCUCUGCCCCUUCCUUCCAUAGCCAUCUAACUGAUAGGAGCUUGUCUGUCUUCAGUUGUGUCCAGGCUUGCCGAUGACCUGACUUGGAAUGGUUGAAGCAGCGAAGAUUGCAGGAGUGGGGAAGUGGAGAGAUGGGUACAGAGCCCUGGGUGCCAGUGUCGUCAUCCUCUGCCUUGCUUCUGUGUCCUGCGACAGCUAGGUGUUUCCUAGCGAAGACCUAGUUUCCCAGCGAAGACCUAGAGAAAUCUGCUGUUCUGAGCUAAUUGUGCACAUGGGUGUACUUCAGUGUGAAGAACUCCAAGGGCUGUACCAGCUUUUGUUAGGAUUCAAGUGCUGCCAUUUCUCUGCUGCAUGGAGAGGAAUCCAGUCCAUGCGUUCAUGAGCUGUACUUUGCUACUGGAGAUAAAAGUGGAAUUGUGCUAAC